rnacentral:rRNA from 1 species
ACUCAAAUGAAUUGACGGGGGCCCGCACAAGCGGUGGAGUAUGUGGUUUAAUUCGAUGAUACGCGAGAAACCUUACCUGGUCUUGACAUCCUAAGGAGCCUUGAGAGAUUGAGGUGUGCCUAGCAAUAGGAGCUUAGAGACAGGUGGUGCAUGGUUGUCGUCAGCUCGUGUCGUGAGAUGUUGGGUUAAGUCCCGCAACGAGCGCAACCCUUGUCGUUAGUUACCAGCACGUAAUGGUGGGCACUCUAACGAGACUGCCGGUGACAAACCGGAGGAAGGUGGGGAUGACGUCAAAUCAUCACGCCCCUUACGACCAGGGCCACACACGUACUACAAUGCUCGGUACAACGAGUUGCAAGACCGCGAGGUUGAGCCAAUCUCUUAAAGCCGGGCCAAGUUCAGAUCGGAGGCUGCAAUUCGCCUCCGUGAAGCUGGAAUCGCUAGUAAACGCAAAUCAGCAUGUUGCGUUGAAUACGUUCUCGGGCCUUGUACACACCGCCCGU